CCUACGGGCGGCUGCAGUGGGGAAUAUUGGACAAUGGGGGGAACCCUGAUCCAGCCAUGCCGCGUGUGUGAAGAAGGCCCUCGGGUUGUAAAGCACUUUCAGUGAGGAAGAACGCCUGGUGGUUAAUACCCAUCAGGAAAGACAUCACUCACAGAAGAAGCACCGGCUAACUCCGUGCCAGCAGCCGCGGUAAUACGGAGGGUGCGAGCGUUAAUCGGAAUUACUGGGCGUAAAGCGCGCGUAGGUGGCUUGAUAAGCCGGUUGUGAAAGCCCCGGGCUCAACCUGGGAACGGCAUCCGGAACUGUCAAGCUAGAGGGCAGGAGAGGAAGGUAGAAUUCCCGGUGUAGCGGUGAAAUGCGUAGAGAUCGGGAGGAAUACCAGUGGCGAAGGCGGCCUUCUGGACUGACACUGACACUGAGGUGCGAAAGCGUGGGUAGCAAACAGGAUUAGAUACCCCAGUAGUC
rnacentral:rRNA from 1 species